rnacentral:rRNA from 1 species
CGCCAGACUCCUACGGGAGGCAGCAGUGGGGGAUAUUGCACAAUGGGGGAAACCCUGAUGCAGCGACGCCGCGUGGGCGAAGAAGUAUUUCGGUAUGUAAAGCCCUAUCAGCAGGGAAGAAGAAAUGACGGUACCUGAGUAAGAAGCACCGGCUAAAUACGUGCCAGCAGCCGCGGUAAUACGUAUGGUGCAAGCGUUAUCCGGAUUUACUGGGUGUAAAGGGAGCGUAGACGGCAGCACAAGUCUGGAGGGAAAUCCCGGGGCUUAACCCCGGAACUGCUUUGGAAACUGUGCGGCUGGAGUGCAGGAGGGGUAAGCGGAAUUCCUAGUGUAGCGGUGAAAUGCGUAGAUAUUAGGAGGAACACCGGUGGCGAAGGCGGCUUACUGGACUGUAACUGACGUUGAGGCUCGAAAGCGUGGGGAGCAAACAGGAUUAGAUACCCCCGUA